GGUCGAGUGGUGUAGUGGUUUAUCACGUCUGCCUCACAGUGUAUGUCAAUACUUGGACGCAGAAGGUCCCGAGUUCAAUCCUCGGUUCGACCU